rnacentral:rRNA from 1 species
UACGUAGGGUGCGAGCGUUAAUCGGAAUUACUGGGCGUAAAGCGUGCGCAGGCGGUUCGUUGUGUCGGCGGUGAAAGCCCCGGGCUUAACCUGGGAAUGGCCGUUGAAACUGGCGAACUGGAGUGUGGCAGAGGGGGGUAGAAUUCCACGUGUAGCAGUGAAAUGCGUAGAGAUGUGGAGGAAUACCAAUGGCGAAGGCAGCCCCCUGGGAUAAUAUUGACGCUCAUGCACGAAAGCGUGGGGAGCAAACAGG